AAAAAUUAGCGGGGAAAGAUGACUGUUGAGCUUAACUCUAAUCUGGCAGUGUAAGAAGACAUAAGAGGUGUAGAAUAAGUGGGAGAUAUUGUUCUUUCGGGUUCAUUAUCGCCAAGGAAAUACCACUACUGUUAUUGUUUCCUUACUUGAUUAAGCGGAACGUGUAUCAUUACUUAGCUAUUAUACGUAUAUAUUUGUGUAUCUUAUGGUAUUGGGUUCUGAUUCAAGCUUCUUGAUCAAACUACUAAGGAGUUUGAUAUAUAAUUGCGCGGACGGAUACCACACAUAGAUCAAAAGGGCAAAAGUUGACAUGAUCUGGAUGUUCAGUACACACAGGGGCAGCAAAAGCUCGGCCUAUCGAUCCUUUUGGUUUAAGGAGUUUUUAACAAGAGGUGUCAGAAAAGUUGCCACAGGGAUAACAGGGAAUGGCUUGCCGCGGCCUAGCGUUCAUAGCGACGUUGCUUUUUGAUUCUUUGAUGUCGGCUCGUCCUAUCAUUGUGAAGCAAAAUUCACCAAGCGUUGGAUUGUUCACCCAUGCAAGGGAACGUGAGCUGGGUUUAGACCGUUGUGAGACAGGUUAGCCUACUAAUGACAAAACGCAUGAUAGCAUUCCUGCUUAGUAAGAGAGGAAUCGCAGGUACAAUACUUGUUCGAGCGAGCAGUGGUAUGACGCUAACUCCGUUGGAUUAUGCCUCAACGCUUGUAAGGUCGUAUCCGAGCUGGACAAAUUUGAAAUCGUGGUCUUACAUUUAUGUGACGGCCGCGCAAAUAUGAAGAAUUGAUAAUGAAUGAAUAUUAUCUGGACAUAUAUAAAAAUUGAAAAAUAAAAUAAUAUCGUGGUUUUACUUGCCGGCCACGAAAAUAUUGAAAAUAU
rnacentral:ncRNA from 1 species